CGGAACUAGUACGAAUUGAUGAAACCACAAAAGAAAACUUGCUAUGAACACUUAUGGUGCAACUGUUAUCCUAAAAUCGAUACAGUUAUCAUUGUGUAUACAAACGUACGUUCAGAUUUAUAUACAUAUAUGUACUGCAAAUUAAAGUAUCUCACACACAGAAUGGCACAAUGAUCCUAAGAUGAUGCGGUACAGUCAGUGUUUACUAACCGAGUUAAACGUCAUGCUUUUUUACUACUUACUUUUUUAGGCACCGACGUAAUAAUGCCGUAGUCAGCGCAAUAAUUCAACAUGCAAUGCCGAACGAAAAUAUCCAAAAAAUGUUAUGUUUCACGCGAGUGCAAAGCCAAGAAAUGUCUUCCUUCAUGUAGUUAUCACGGCAUCGUUGAUGCUUCCAUGUGUUGUAGCGGUCGGUGAUCGGUGCGAUAAUAUAAUGGAUCGGCUAUUUCACAAAUGUAUGGAUGUGGUUAAUGAAUAGAUAACCACGAUAACCGUUUAUGGUGAAAAUAAUGAGUGUUUUAUUUGAGCUCGAUUGUAAUUACGCGAUACAUGCUGAAGUAACUUCGCACCUAUGGUUCGCAAAACAUUUAAUAUAUAUCUAUAAUUACAUACAACUCCAUUAUAGGUGCAUCCGCUUUGUAAAUUUCUUGUCGAUUUUUACAAUUUCGGUUGUAGAUGUUUGCCAAUAGGCACAAAGCUCAGGACAAAGCGUUUAACAUUGUUAACAUACAUCAGUCGCGAUAAUGUACAGAAUUGUAAUAUUAAUUUGGAUCUAUUUUCAUCGUAUUUCUUAUUACAACUUUUAUUCUACAUGUACAUAUUGUAUAAAAUAUAUUUUCUAGCGUGAUCUUAUGUUCGUAUUUUAUCACUACCUUGUACUUCCUUGUAAAACUUUGUGCGUUGCUUCGGUAUUUAUGUAUAUAAAUAAAAAGUUGUAUAAUCAUACAAAACUUAUCUAACAUGACGUGUAAUUUA